UGUGAACUUAUACCUUCUUCAAGGAUGGAAAAAUGGCUCAGAGUGGUACCAGGGCCUAUCUCAGGCCCAGGGAAGUUGACAGCCACUGAAGCCGGCUUGGGGGCUGGGGGCGUGGUAAAAUAAACACAAGUAAUUAGCUUUUGCUGAGAGUGCCGUUCUUCUCUUGUUCUGGAGGUGUGAGUAGUCUGUGCAACUUGCUGUCCUUCCCUGAGCUAAACGCCUCUGGAACACUACUGCCAGCCCCGCUGCAGUCGCUCCAGGGAACGGUGCCUGAGGGUUCCUGGCUGUUCAGGUCCAGUAACUCCUCUCCACUUCUGAAUAGUCUCUCCCUCCCCCUGCCGCUGAGUCCAUUUUCUAACUUUGCCUUUGAUGCUCAGGGCUCCUAGCUUGUCAUAAAUAUACUUGCUUCACUUGUUUUUUCUGGUCUUUUUUGUAAGAGGGAUGACUGGCGACGUCUCAAUACUCAAAACUUCAUCAUUUCUUCCUUUCACUUUAGCUACUCGACAUUCAAGAGCAACGUUCAGAGUCUCUUCCGACAUCCGUUUUGGUCUUUUCUUUCUUUCCUGUCUUUUAAAGGAUCUCUUGCUUUCCUCAUGUGUGAUGUCCUUGAUGUCAUUCCACAACUCGUCUGGUCUUCAGUCGUUAGUGUUCAACACGUAAAAUGUGUUCUUGAGGUGGUCUCUAAAUACAGGUGAGAUAUACUCAAGGUCAUAUUUUGGCCCCUUUUGACUUAUUCUAAUUUUCUUCCGUUUCAGCUUGAACUCCCAUAUGAGCAAUUGACAGUCUGUUUCACAAUCGAUCCCUGGCCUUGUUCUGACUGAUGAUAUGAGUUUUCCCAUCUUCUCUUUCCACAGAUGUAGUCAGUUUGAUUCCUGUGUAUUCCAUCUGGUAAAGUCCACGUGUAUAGCUGCCGUUUAUGUUGGUGAAAAAAAAUAUUUGCAGUGGAUGAGUCACUGGUCUUGCAAAAUUCUUUCAUGAGAUUUCUGGCGUCAUUUAUUUCAGCGAUGCUGUAUUUUCCAACUACUUUUCCUUCUUUGUUUCCAACUUUAACAUUCUAAUGACCAGUAAUUAUCAAUGCAUCUUGAUUGCAUCUUUGAUCAAUUUCAGGCUGCAGAAGUUGUUUAAAAUCUUCAAUUUCUUUAUCUUUGGCAUUAGUGGUUGGUGCAUACAUUUGAAUAGUCAUAUAAACUAGUCUUCCUUGUAAGUGUAUGGAUUUUAGCCUAUCAGUGACAACAUUGUACUUCAGGCUAGAUCUUGAAAUGUUCUCUUUGAUGAUAUGUAACGUCAUUCUUUUGACUCUGGUGGAAUAUCCAUGUUUGUAAGACUGCUCACAGACUGUUUUACCAGAGAGUUUUCUGGUACUGCAACAUCUACCACUAAUCUCUGUGAUCCCUUUGAAUUGGCAAAAUAAGAAUAGUGCUAUAGAUUUCUUCCAAAUACAGAAAACAUAAGUAUGAAAAUGUUCUUGCUGUUGAUUAUAUUCUUUACCAAUCUGUUUGUAUGGGAUUUUUGGUACUUCACUUGAAAAAUGAGUCCAAGGUACUGUGAUGUGAUUGUUUACUUUGUGUGGCCUUUCUAGCCAUGGUCUUAUAACAUCCACCCUGGUGCUUGGGCAGGACUGUGUGAUAGGGUAAUUGUGGCUCACCAAGAGGAUUGUUUAUUUUGCCUUCAAAGAGAACCAGUUCCAGAGCAAAGAGGAGGAUUCAACUCCCAUCAAGGAAGAACAGCCAAGAGCCGAGCGUAUAUUAUGGACCUGAGAUCCCUGCACUGAGAAGCUCCUAGAAGCAGGAGACUGAGAUAGAGAGAGGAAGCUGUAACCCUGAAGAUGCUUAAAUACAGACCAGAAGAGGAGUUUGGGGCUUGACACCUGACAUCUUAACACCAGUUCCUGUUUCUUGAGGAAGGAAGAGGUAAAAUAAAUCAGCGUUUGCUGUUUCCUUCUCCAUCCCCGGAAGUCCUGAUGAAGACCCUCUCAGAGAACCAGUUCCAGAGCAAAGAGGAGGAUUCAACUCCCAUCAAGGAAGAACAGCCAAGAGCCGAGCGUAUAUUAUGGACCUGAGAUCCCUGCACUGAGAAGCUCCUAGAAGCAGGAGACUGAGAUAGAGAGAGGAAGCUGUAACCCUGAAGAUGCUUAAAUACAGACCAGAAGAGGAGUUUGGGGCUUGACACCUGACAUCUUAACACCAGUUCCUGUUUCUUGAGGAAGGAAGAGGUAAAAUAAAUCAGCGUUUGCUGUUUCCUUCUCCAUCCCCGGAAGUCCUGAUGAAGACCCUCUCAGGUAAGGAUUGACAGGGAGUGGCUUGGUUUACUAUUCAACUUUGUCCUUCAGUAACUUUGUUUAUGUCCUGCAUGUAAACUGUUGUGCAUUGAGAAGCAUUCUAAUUCUUGUGCAGAAGGACUAGACCUCCUGCAGAAUGACUAUAUUGUGCCUCCCUCGGGCACCCCU